rnacentral:lncRNA from 1 species
UCAGUAUCCCCCCAAAUGAAUGUGCAUGCGGGAAGGUGAAGAUCCAAGGUUAGCUUCUGCCAUGAAUAUCUAGCCUCACCUACCCCUGAGAUUAGGCAGGAGUUUCAAAAGAAUCCUGAUGACGAAGACGCAAGACUAUUUGGGCUGGCUGGGCUCACGUGGACAGAGUACCUCCAAUCAGUGAGCUUUUGAGGCUUCCACUCAUAGAGUCCAUAGUGUCCAACUCUACUUACAAUAUGGUAAGUGCUCAAUAAAUACAGGUGGUCCCAACUUACAAUGGUUUAACUUAUGACUUUUCAACUUUACAAUGGUGUAAAAGUGAUAUGCGUUCAGUAGAAAUUGUAUUUCCGAUUUUGAAUUUGGGUCUUUUCCUGAGCUACAAUAUGUAGUGAGAUCCUCUUUUGGGAUGUUCUGCAGCAACCUUAAGCCACAGCUCCCAGUCAGCCAUGUGAUCACAGCAGGAAGCAGCUGACACUGAACAUUGUGUCGUGUGGCUGAGCUCUGAUACUUGGUAGGUUAGAUAUAUUACAUG